UAUCUUCUCACCACUCUAGUAUGCUGCUCCUCGCUCGACUCACCGCCGGUCACUACCCCACCGCUUGCUUCUCCGAUGACCCCGUUGCCUUGUUGCUCUUCCCCACCCCAAGCCUCCUCCAUUACUUACCUCACGCGGCAUCACCCGAGUGCGGGAGACGAUGGUGCUAUAGGUGUAUGGGGCGGCGGCCGCCGCACUUCCUUCCGCCUCCUCGAGUUGGGCAUCCUCUGCGAUGCGAUAGGGAGGCUGCCGCCCGGCGGGCUGUCCGAUGACCUGGCUCACCGUCGCCUUCGGCCCCCGCAGGUACCCCUGCUCGGUCAACUUCAUCGACGGAUGUAAAAUUUGGGAUCCAAGGUUUUUGAAAUCUACGAGGAUUUUGGGCGUGCAAGAGUUUACAACCAAUCAGGCAACAACUGGUCAGACUGUCUAUGCUCCCUACCUACCUUAUUUGCUAAGUAUCUGUGGACUAUCGUAGCAUAUAUAUACCUACUGAAUGUGGUUACUAUAAUAAGUGCCGAACCAUAGGAGUGUUCUGUUUCUCAUUGGAGCAGGUUGCAUUGAUGCAUAUCAAGUUUAUUUAUCAAUCCUACCUUUCUCAUAUGAUGAUGGAUGAGCUCUUUUAACAAAUACAACCCCUGAGUCAUCUAAAAUCAGUCUAUUUUUUUUUAACUGCAUGGACGUCCUGAAAAUUAUACCGCAAUACUUUUAAAGCAUAGUUUCCAUAGGAAUUGGCAUAUUCUGUUACCUUUCCUGCUGUCAGUCAAGUAGAUGUUGGGUGAAACGUAGUGUCCAUGGCCCAUUGGAAUUCGUCUGUAGCGUUUAUCCGUACAGCCAUGUUGAAACAAUCCAUGUCUAUACCUUGUGUAUCCUUUAGCAUGUCUUUAGUUGUUUAAGUCUUAAACUAAUUGAAUAAGGCUUGGAGCUCUGAACCCAUACUUCUGUAUGAAACAAACCACAAAAUUAACCAUAGGGGAACAAUGAUAAUUUAAACUAGUGCAUCGUAUAUAAUUAAAUAUCUUAGACAAAUUGAACUUACUUCAUGGCCUCCUCGUUGUCAAUGGAGAGGAUAUAGUUCCAAAGUUUGGAAACUACAUGGAAACUACAUUCUUGUUGACCGGCAUCUUCAAAUUUGGUGCCGGGUCAUUGGCUACCUCAGAUGCUUGUGCUUGUGAUACUUCAGUAGGCGGGGGAUCAUUCUUGUCCCAAAUUAUGACAUCACUUUUAUCUCCUUUGACGUCUGGCUAGCUGCUCAUAUUCUAGGGUUCCUUUUAAACCAUUCAAAACAGACUCUAGCAGAAUAAUAGCUAAACUGCUUCCUAAAUAGUUUGAUACCCUUCAGCAAAUUAGUUAUUCGAAUUAAUAGCUGCAUCAUUGAUCUUGAUAGUAAUAUAUUUCAGUCCCUGUGAAAAUACCUGCGUUACAUCAGGAUUUCACAAAGAGUUGACUAAAUCGCUGAUUCUUUUUGAGCCAGUAGAAAACAAAAAUGCUUGGAAGCAAUGGUCAUCACAAUCAAAAGUGAUGACACCUCGCAAAUAAUUAAUUGCUUGCGGUUUCUUCAGGUAGGUGAUGCAUGUGAUUUUUUCAAUGUGAAUUGUGAAAUAACGCCACAAUGCAUUUUUGUAAUUCUUGCGGAAAUGAAUUAUUUAAAUCUUGCAUAUGAUGUAUCAAAUGGUAAAACAGAAGCUCAUCAUCAGUAAUUUUUUGCAAGACAAUAGAAGUCUCAAUAGUUUAUUAUUUGUUUUACACGACAUUUCUAAACUGUACGACCUUCUAGGAGAGGCAGUGAUAUAUCAACAAUUCAUUUCUCUUGCAAUAUGUAGAUCCAGCCUCAAUGGUCCAAAUGCUGCACUGGGACCGUCCUGAUGGAAAUUGUUGAAUGCACAUUAAAGAUACAAUACUUUGCGUCAAUAUCUACUCUGGUGAGAUAUCAAUAACAAUAGCAAUGAAGACAUUGUAAGGGGAGAGAUUUCGCGGUUACCUGGUGAUUGGUGGAGGCAAGCGGGAGCCGAGAUAGCUGACAGUGCCAUCACCCUCUCCGAGUUGGGCGGUCAAGAAUGUAUCGAGUGGCCAUGGCGGCAGCUUCAGGACAGGUCACCUGUAAGGAUCAAGCAGGGUAGGUCAGCUCUAGUGUUGAUACGAUGGUAAUUGUGGACGUAAUUUUUGGUCGAAAUAAUGGUGGUUGAUGAUGGCAAUAUGGGUAGGGCUCCCUCUGAAACCA